GGGGUGAGAAAAAGCAAAGCAAACAAGCUUGCUUCACCAAAGAAAAAGUCUCAGACUCAGACACUAAGAAUGCGCAAUGAACAAGAAACCUGAAGUUUCUGCCCUCGUGAAGCUGGGAAAAGAGGACAAUAAGCAAACCACUUAGUACAUCACUUGUCAUCUUGAUGAAAGUCAUCUUUCUAGAUCUCACUUUGCUCUCUAUACAACUAGAAAGUUGGAAGAAAUAAUUUUAUAUGAUGUAUCCAAACUUUUGAAGAAUUGCAUGAAAACAGGCAUAGUCUGACAUUUGAGUCUCAUAUUUAAAACUGCAA